rnacentral:rRNA from 1 species
CCCUUAGAUGUUCUGGGCCGCACGCGUGCUACACUGAGUGGAUCAGCGGGUCAGGUUGCGCGAAAGUGUUUCCUAAUCUUGAAAUCCGCUCGUGAUGGGGAUUGACGGUUGCAAUUUUCUGUCAUGAACGAGGAAUACCUUGUAAGCGCGGGUCAUCAUCCCGCGCUGAAUACGUCCCUGCCCUUUGUACACACCGCCCGUCGCUCCUACCGAUUGAGUGGUCCGGUGAGGCUUUGGGAUCCGGAUGGAAAGAGCGUUUCGCUGUUUCUGCCCGGAAAACUCAGUCGAACCUUAUCAUUUAGAGGAAGGAGAAGUCGUAACA